GGGACAUCAAGGUGAUUAUAAGUGGACAGACAGCAGUGAAUCUAACUUUACAGACUGGGAAGAAGGUCAGCCUGACCCAGCAACUAGUGGUAACGGAUGCGGAGCAAUUGACCCAGAAGACACUGAUGGCAGUUGGGUAGCCGUGGAUUGCCAAACAAAUGCAUACGAUUACAUCUGCGAAAAGAAGCAAGGGGCUUGUGUCUACGGCUGGGAGCCCUUCGGGAAAUCCUGCUACUAUUUCAACACCGAGAAAUCCGACGCCCUGGUUUGGGAAAAUGCCAAAGCCACCUGCGAGGAGGUGGGAGCUCACCUGGUCAUCAUUGAUGGGGAAGAAGAAAACAACUUUAUUUCGGA